rnacentral:rRNA from 1 species
AGAGCGAACGCUGGCGGCAGGCCUAACACAUGCAAGUCGAGCGCCCCGCAAGGGGAGCGGCAGACGGGAGAGUAACACGUGGGAACGUACCCUUCAGUUCGGAACAACCCAGGGAAACUUGGGCUAAUACCGGAUACGUCCGUAAGGAGAAAGAUUUAUCGCUGAAGGAUCGGCCCGCGUCUGAUUAGCUUGUUGGUGAGGUAACGGCUCACCAAGGCUACGAUCAGUAGCUGGUCUGAGAGGAUGAUCAGCCUCACUGGGACUGAGACACGGCCCAAACUCCUACGGGAGGCAGCAGUGGGGAAUAUUGGACAAUGGGCGCAAGCCUGAUCCAGCCAUGCCGCGUGAGUGAUGAAGGCCCUAGGGUUGUAAAGCUCUUUGUGCGGGAAGAUAAUGACGGUACGCAAGAAUAAGCCCGGCUAACUUCGUGCCAGCAGCCGC